rnacentral:rRNA from 1 species
ACUCCUACGGGAGGCAGCAGUGGGGAAUAUUGGACAAUGGGCGCAAGCCUGAUCCAGCCAUGCCGCGUGAGUGAUGAAGGCCCUAGGGUUGUAAAGCUCUUUCACCGGUGAAGAUAAUGACGGUAACCGGAGAAGAAGCCCCGGCUAACUUCGUGCCAGCAGCCGCGGUAAUACGAAGGGGGCUAGCGUUGUUCGGAUUUACUGGGCGUAAAGCGCACGUAGGCGGACUAUUAAGUCAGGGGUGAAAUCCCGGGGCUCAACCCCGGAACUGCCUUUGAUACUGGUAGUCUUGAGUUCGAGAGAGGUGAGUGGAAUUCCGAGUGUAAAGGUGAAAUUCGUAGAUAUUCGGAGGAACACCAGUGGCGAAGGCGGCUCACUGGCUCGAUACUGACGCUGAGGUGCGAAAGCGUGGGGAGCAAACAGGAUUAGAUACCCGUGUAGUCCCA